CGUAGGGUGCGAGCGUUAAUCGGAAUUACUGGGCGUAAAGCGUGCGCAGGCGGUUUGUUAAGAUAGGCGUGAAAUCCCCGAGCUCAACCUGGGAACUGCGCUUAUGACUGGCAAGCUAGAGUACGGCAGAGGGGGGUGGAAUUCCACGUGUAGCAGUGAAAUGCGUAGAGAUGUGGAGGAACACCAAUGGCGGAGGCAGCCCCCUGGGUCGAUACUGACGCUCAUGCACGAAAGCGUGGGUAGCAAACAGGAUUAGAUACCCUGGUAGUCCACGCCCUAAACGAUGUCAACUAGGUGUUGGAUGGGUAAAACCAUUUAGUACCGGAGCUAACGCGUGAAGUUGACCGCCUGGGGAGUACGGCCGCAAGGUUA
rnacentral:rRNA from 1 species